GGGGGGCGGGGCUGCACGCUCCGCUGGAUCAAAGCAAGUUCAAUAUAACACGGUUUCACCUAUAACGCGGUAAGGUUUUUUGGCUCCCGAGGACAGUGUUAGAUCGGGGCAGAGGUGUACAUCUAGUGUGUGUUUGUACUCAAGGAGGCAUAACCUUGAAAGAGAGUCUACUACUGAAGAACAGUACACACUGUAGGGUUUACUCCAAGAUCUGGAGCAGUGCUUGCUCACAAAUCUCAGACUGCAACAGAAGCCACUUACAUAAUCAGCCAGAAUUAUCCAGGCUCAUCAGGUCACUAUCUAAAGAAGUGUUUGACAUGGACUAUGACAAACUAUAAAGGCAGAGUGCAUAACAUUGAUUUAUACAAUAGGUUAGAAUGAUUCCA